GUCUGGAGCUUUGGUAUUUUACUGUGGUGAACCUCAUGGUUGGCUGGUUAAAGAAUCCGGAAAUUGCAGUAGAUGCUAUAUCAACCAGCUUGGCGCUUCAACUUUGGGUACUAAUGAUCGCUCUAGGUUUCAAUGCUGCAAUCAGUGUUCGUGUUUCCAAUGAGCUAGGAGCUGGUCGUCCAAAAGCUGCAAAGUUCUCAGUAGUAGUUGCUGUAAUUACAUCAACUCUAGUCGGA